GAGGGUGUAAUUCGGACUUUUCCCUCUGGGUGAGUAUAGCAAAACUAUUCUCUCGGUUUGUUUCCAUCAUCAUCCAGCCAUCCCUGUUUCUUUUUGCUCGUCGUCUCUUCCUACUCUGGUGAAGCCAUAAUUAAAUCAACUUUCUUGGCCAUUUGGAAAACUGUAAAACGAAAACAGAUACAAAGAGAUACACGAGGAUGAACCUAAGGUGCUUUUUUCUUUUAAUGCCACAAACAUUUUCCCACCUUGCAGGUUUCAGAUUUAAAGGAAUUUCUAUGUCUAUAUCGAGUCAUCUGUAUAUCAGUGUGACUUCCUCUGUGCUUGCAGGUUUCAGCUUCUUACUGCUUCAGAGGAGCAUAGAUAUAUGGUCUUCUGUGCUUCCUUUUCGAGUCGGUGUGCUAUUUGACAAUGCAAAAUGGCUUAUCCUGAUGGAUCCUCAGAAGAAAAGCAGAAAGUUCAAUGACAGAAAACUGCUUCAUGGUUAAGAGAGCAAGUAUUGCAGCUUGGCCCAACAUUUAUCAAGCUUAGAAAGUUAUCCUCCACACGAUCUGAUUUAUUCCCAAGGGAAUUUGUCGAGGAGCUUGCAAAACUGCAGGAUAGAGUACCUGCAUUCUCUCCUAGAAAGCAAAAGCUUUCAUAAAGAAGGAAAUGGAUUGUUCCAUUGAUAGUGUACAAAGAAUUUGAAGAGCGUCCAAUAGCGGCAGCAAGUCUUCGUCAGGUGUUCAAUCCUAAACAUUAUCAGCAUCUGCAUUUUUCUACCCAGUAUCAUUGCAUACUCAGUAUACCAUGAACAUAUCAUGCAAUCAUUUUUCUCAAAGAUAUUCCCUUUCCCUGAUAUGGUUAAAUUCUGAAGAAACUAGCUCAUCAUGAUUUAGCCCCUCUUGAAGGAAAUGUGUGAUUUAGGCAAUCAGCCCCUCUUCACAUCCGUAUCUGUCCAUUCCUUUGUUUAUCAUUGGUAACAGCCUUCACAUGAUGCAUUCCUGUCCUAUGGAAACCAACACUGACGAUAUUAAUGGUUCUUAUUUGGGAACAGUUUACUAAAUUCAAUGUCCUAGAUGAUACUUAUGAUGUAUUUGCUGAUUUAUACUUCCACAUUGCUUUGUGUUUUAUAUUCGGGUACAUCGUGCAGUGCUCCAUAAUGGUGAACGAGUUGCAGUCGAAGUUCAGCGACCAGGCCCAAAAAAAUUUACAGUUCAUCUUACUUAGGUCACUGUCAAAAAGUUUUGGUGACAUAUACAUUUGGUGAUAUAUACAAAUCGUGACACAUACAAAUUACCGAGGUUGGGAAUGAUGGGGCCUAUCAUGUGGAGUAGAAUUGGAGCUGACACGGAUAGUCACACCUCGUCAUGGUUACUUCUUUUGAGCCCUACAGAGCUGUGUCCCUGCUACUGCUAAUGUCUUCCUUUAUAAAUGAUUUUCUUGAAUUCAUGUGAAUUAAAUCCUUGGCCUCAAUGUUUGUGUCGCCAUGGACUACUGUAAAUAAUAUGUUUGCUUAUGCUGCAAUUAUGUCAA